ACACAUCCUGCCCACAAAGCCCGGCAUGAGCCCCAUGCCCUCAGGGUCCAGGGGCUGCUGAAGCCACGCCUGGCUGUCGGCUGUGGAUCGUGUGUUAUGUCCAGCUCGGCUCCGGCAGUUACCUUUCUGCCAGUUGUUUAGCAUAACCUGAGCCAAGGUCACGAGGCAAGUCUGAUGUCCAUGUGGGCUGGUUAGUUGCACACACUUGUUCCGUGACUCCAGAAGGCUCAUAAAUGUGAGCCUCUGAUGAUCACAGGGGGAGACAGGACAAGAAAGGGACGGUUGAACUGACGGCAGGGUGCCACUUCUACUGAAAAACAAGUCAGAAUUUGCUGUCUGUGAACAAUGGGUUGGUAGGACCCCAACGUUUCUACAGGAGCACGAAAAAGGGCUUGAAGAAAAUGGUAGAGAGAGCAUUCAGUCUCCUAACUGAUGAUGCAAAACAAUUCCAGAAGGCUCAACAUCGCAUUUGAUAACAC